GCGGUGGUGGUUCACCGUAGAGCCCUCGCCUUCCAUGCGGGAGACCCGGGUUCGGUUCCCAGCCAGUGCG
rnacentral:tRNA from 1 species